rnacentral:lncRNA from 1 species
AGUAAUUAAAUUACAUUAUUUAAAUUGUGUUCAAAACAAGACGUGUCUACAUUGUAUUCUGACUUAUUACACUUUUUUUUUUUUUUUUUUUUUGAGACAGUCUCACUCUGUCACCCAGGCUGCAGUGCAGUGGGUGUGAUCUCGGCUGACUGCUAUCUCCGCCUCCCAGGUUCAAGCGAUUCGCGUGCCUUAGCCUCCCAAGCAGCUGGGAUCACAGGCAUGUACUACCACGCCUGGCUAAUUUUUUGGAUUUUUAGUAGUGACUGGGUUUCACCAUGCUACCCAGGCUGGUCUCAAAUUCGUGA